AUGAUGACCGGUUACCUGUCCUCAGUGGGAGUAUGUGCUGGAGAACGCCGUGUAGGAAGCAUCUUAAGGACUCUGCAUCGCCCUUAUCACGAAUUACGAAGAUGUGGCGCACAGAACCUGAAUCCCAUACCCUAUUAUGCUGCAUAUGUGGGACACAAACUCCACUUAGACCAGAACGAAAAACUGGUGAUGUUUGGAGUUACUCACGUUAUGGCAGUAGAUGGGCACAGUGGUAAGGUUGUUUCCCAUGCAACCAUGCCAGUAAAAAAUAAUCUCCUCAUAUAUGAGCACGUGUACAGAAUCAUACAAUAGAAAGAAUGUGGCCAGAGAUUAGUAAAUUACCCACUAAAGGAGGCUCUCGUGCAACUGCUGGAUCAAGAAAUAAUAG